AAGAAUAUAUCUUUUGAUUUAAAGGUUCCUAUAACCAAGUGGCUUCUCUGACGCUAAGAAAUCUGAGGAGACGCCAAUGUCAUAAACGUCAGUCUUCCUGUAAGGAAAGAGUAAAACGCUGGGGUUUCUGAGCAGAAGCCUGUGUUCACCAGGAACAACGGGCCCGGCUUUCCCCGACGGCCUCCGUUUCUGCCUGUACCUCACGCCGCCACGGGACAGAGGGAGGCGCUGGGCUUUCCGGUCUGGCUUAGCGUGCUUGACCAAAGGUGACGAUGACUUAGUGGGCUAAGGUCAUGCUCUCCCUGCCUCCCAAUCAAUAAUUUAAUGUGACUUAUCAGAAAGAGAGAGAACUGUUUACUUUAAAACCCCGGAUCCCAUAAAGGGAGAGGGAAAGACCUAAAACCCACAGAAGCUCGGGGCUUGCGCCCAGGCCGCCCGGCACAGCCCAGCAGAAGUGGGGGGUGGUGGGGGGUGGAAGGUGCCGUCCACUGGCCAGAGAAGGGCCCAGGCCCAGGCCCAGGCCUGGGCCCAGGCAAGACAGACACGGACUGGAAGAUUGUGAAGACGCCUCAGGCACACAGGGGCCACCCGGAGAAGUGGAGACAUGCUCAGACCCCGCUGUGAGAGCCUGAGAGGUGAAAUGGGUCCAAGCCUUUGCCAGAUGGAGAGUUCUGCAAGCAUGGAGACCUUUCUAACUUGACUUGUUCACCUCCCAGUGCUUCUUCCUAACUGAGGCCAGGACAUUUCUGGAGUCUCUUGUCACGGUCAACAACAUCCCUUGAGAGACCGGGAAGUGGGGGUUUCUGUUCUAAGUCCCGCAGGCGAAGCCAGAGCAGAUGAGCCUGACUAUGGGGGAGGAACCCGAGAUAGUUCAUGACAAGAGCGUGUCCACCAUGGCUGUGCCCAGAGUGCCAAGAGUUGGCGUGACGGGGGCCAUCUGGGCUUCUAGAGUUUGUAUUCGGUGUGAGUCAUGGCAAAGCCGUCUGAAGAGAUCAGGGCUACCAGUGGGCCAUGUGGCACAUUCCUGCUACCUUGCAAAUGACCGUACCCUGUCAGGGCAAGUGAGAGUCUCGGACUGAACCAGAAGAAGUCGCUUCACAGGAGGGUAAGCAAAUCAACACACUCAAGAAGGUAAGGAAAAAAGGAGGCAGGGUUCAACAUCCAAUCCCAUGGAGACUGAGAGACUUUUGUAAUGUGCUAAUAACUGCACAUUCUAGGUUGAAGAGGGUGAUUUCGUGGUCUGCAUAUGAAUAAGAGCCAUUUUUACGAAAAAAAAUGCCAAAGGGUGCAUAUUCAGUUGUUAAAAAGGAGCCGGUUUUAUGGCCACAGCAAGGUUCUGGCCAAAUGGUAACCACUCAGUUAUCCUGGGGGAAAAAAGAAACCGGCCCCCAACCUUUGCCUUUCCUAGCAUUUGGGGGAAAAUAAAGGAUUAGGUGAAAAUGA